CCCUAUUCUUCCCUCUGUGGCUGAUGCCUGCUUGCCUUCCCCAGCCUCUCCUUCCCUCUAACCUGCAAGCCCCCUUCUCCCUGGCCCCAGGCCACUCUGAGCCACCCUCUCAAUCUGUACCCUCAGCCUCUGCAACAGAGCCUGGCGUGGUGUUGCCCCACUGCAUGUUUGUUGACUGACUGGCUGAUGGAUGCAGAGCCCGUCCUUCCUAAUGGUUCAGACUCAGGCGUCAUCAGCCCAGAUGGCUCCGAGGGAAGGGAGAGGCCACUCCGACUGCUCUGAGGUCCAGGGAAGGGGCCUGUGCUGCCGCUUGGAGGGUGCCAUGCCCAGAGCCUCUGCCCCUAGCCUCAGCCUCGCCUACUCACUGGGGGCUCCAGCACCCCCGGCCACCCCAGGACUCCCGAAGAGGCUGCUAGGUCGGCCUGCCCAAAGAGCGGUGAGGAGCGUAUGUGAAGAGCCCCAGUCUUGAGGAGCAGCCUGUAUCUGGAGAGAGGGGAGCCCCGGACCAGAGGUGGGGGACAGGAAGCCAUCGCCCCACCCUGCCUCCUCCCCCACCACAGGUACCAGGCCCGGAAACCACGGAAAGGGGAACUUGGUCUUUUCUUGUUUUGCUCUCAACCCCUUCCUGUCUCCAAGCCCAGGGCAGC
rnacentral:lncRNA from 1 species